rnacentral:rRNA from 1 species
UACAGAGGUCUCAAGCGUUGUUCGGAUUCAUUGGGCGUAAAGGGUGCGUAGGUGGCGCUGUAAGUCGGGUGCGAAAUUUCGGAGCUUAACUCCGAAACUGCAUUCGAUACUGCGGUGCUUGAGGACUGGAGAGGAGACUGGAAUUCAUGGUGUAGCAGUGAAAUGCGUAGAUAUCUGGAGGAACACCGGUGGCGAAAGCGGCUCACUGGACCAUAUCUGACGCUGAGGUGCGAAAGCUAGGGUAGCAAACGGG